UGGGGAAUAUUGGACAAUGGGGGAAACCCUGAUCCAGCAAUGCCGCGUGUGUGAAGAAGGCCUGCGGGUUGUAAAGCACUUUUGGCAGGGAAGAAAAGCACUGGCCGAAUACGCCAGUGUGUUGACGUAACCUGCAGAAGAAGCACCGGCUAACUCUGUGCCAGCAGCCGCGGUAAUACAGAGGGUGCAAGCGUUAAUCGGAAUUACUGGGCGUAAAGGGCGCGUAGGCGGUUAAGUAAGUCGGAUGUGAAAUCCCCGGGCUCAACCUGGGAAUUGCAUUCGAUACUGCUUAGCUAGAGUGUGGAAGAGGGAAGCGGAAUUUCCGGUGUAGCGGUGAAAUGCGUAGAUAUCGGAAGGAACACCAGUGGCGAAGGCGGCUUCCUGGUCCAACACUGACGCUGAGGCGCGAAAGCGUGGGGAGCGAACAGG
rnacentral:rRNA from 1 species